UCAGCUCUCACCGUGAAGUGUCAAAUUAAGUCAGAAAUCGAGCAAGACCCCCACCCCUAGUUGUUAUUCGCCUGCAGUCAGGCGGGGCACUCUAAGGGGACUGCCGGUGAUAAACCGGAGGAAGGAGGGGACCACGUCAAGUCAUCAUGCCCCUAAACCCCAGGGCUACACACGGGCUACAAUGGCGGGUACAAAGGGAUCCGACCCCGAAAGGGGGAGCCAAUCCCAUAAACCCCGCCGUAGUCCGGAUUGGGGGUCUGAACCUUGCCCUCAUGACGUGGAAUCCCUAGUAACGGGUC
rnacentral:rRNA from 1 species